rnacentral:rRNA from 1 species
UGAAUGAUUUAAGCAUAUAAGUAGGAGGAGGAAAUGACACAAACAUGGAUUCACUGAGUAGCUGCGAGUGACAUGUGAUUUGCUCACAGCCGAUAUUCUUUGCUGAAUGCUUUGACGUGAGGACUUUGAGUGUGGUGCCAAUGGUGUUGCAAGUGUGAGCCAUCUGGGAAAAGAGGAGAGUGUGCACUUACAAGGGUGAGAAGCCUUGCUUUGAGAAUCAUGCUCUUUGGAAGUGGAGUGUAAAGUGGGUGGUAGACUCUUCUCAAAGCUGAGUACAGAACUGGGACAGACAGAGAAGAAGUACCAAGAGGGAAGUGUGAAAAGGACUUUGGAAAGAGACUUAAAAGAGCCUGCACUUGCUGAGGGGCACGCAUACAGCAUGCUUGCUUGUGAGAUGAUUGCGGUGUGUUUUCGGCUGGCUUUGACUGUAUGAUCAUGGACAUGUGCCAUGGACACCUGACUACCCAUUGUGUAUCCUCUUGCGUCUGCCAUCAU